AUUUGGGUGGCCUCGAGUCGCAGUGUCCUGGGCCUCCGGAAGUCCAGUGUACUCAGCAAGGGAGCUCUGCUCUACCUGGUCAUUCAGCAACACAGGCUCCUUCUACUCUUUGGCUUCCCCUAUCUCUUUGGCUUCCUCAUUCUCUGCAUUCAGCUGGCAGAUAUGGAGAGAUGGAGUGUCUAGGAUCACUGUGGUCAGCAGAAUAAUGGCCUCUAAAGAUGUCCACAUCUUAAUCUCUGGAAUCUGUGAUUGUUAUCUUUAUUGCAAAAGAUACUUUGUAGCUGUGAUUAAAUUAAGGGACUUAAAAUGGGGAGAUUAUCCUGGAUUAUCUGGAUGAGCCCUAAAUAUAAUGACCUUAUAAGAGCGAGGCAAGAAAGUCAAGGAUAAAGAAGUAAGGAGAUAUGAAGAUUGAAAACACUGGAGUGAUGCAAGGAAUGAGUCACAAGCCAAGGAAUGCAGAAGGCCUCCAGAGGCCAGAAAAAGCAAGAAUUCCCCACUAGAGCUUCAGAAGGAAGCAGCCCUGCCAACAACACUCUGACUUGAGCCCUGUGAAGCUCAUUUCAGACUUCCGGCCUCCAGAAGUAAGAGAAUAAAUUUAUGUUGUGUUAAGCAACUAAGGUUAUGCUAAGUUGUUACGGAUGUGCACACAUCAUUUUCAAUCAUGUUCCAUUGAACUUAGUCACACAGCUACUCCUAUCUGUAUGGGAGCCAGGGAAUAUAGUCUCUCUACGUGGCCAGGAAAAAAAAAGAAAGAAGGUUGGGGCCAGUCACCCCCACAUCCCUUUAUGGAGGCUUCCAGAUCAUGGAUCCUGUCACGCGCAUCCCGGUGAAGAGAGUCCACCAACAGGCUUUGUAAACUGCAAAACAAGGAAAUUGUGUAGAUAGCAAGGUCAGAGAAGUGACUGAAAAA
rnacentral:lncRNA from 1 species